UCCAAGUCCACCCUAGCCAAUCAUCAUUAGCAUUACAAAGCACACAAUGCAGACAAUGUAUUCUCAACCAAUAACUGUAAAUGUGGCAUUUUAGCAUCAUCAUUGUCUGCUUUAAAUUAGCACUGAGAACCAUCGCCCAGAUUGAAUACAUUCGAAUGCAUACUCGUUAUUGGACUGCAAAAUAGCCAAUUAAAUUCCUCCGUUGUGUGGGGUAAGUAAGCACAGACACACACUUAUGCAAACACAUGCACACACGCAAGCACACACACACACCCAUAACCCUGCUAGGAGUGAUUGUAACUUUGAAAACCUGGAUAACUGUCGCACAAUACUGUCAAAAGUCAUAAGUCAAAAUACUCUACAAAGAUGAAGCGUAAGCACAUGGCAUAUACGCUUGGGCUUCUCCUAUCUUUAAAUCUAUGAAUGUUAAUUUCAUUAUUCAUCAGCAUUCCUCUUUUCUACUUCCAUACGUUUGCUGUUCUAUUACUAUAGAUUCAGGCAUAACACAGAGGUCAAGGUGUAAUAACACAGAGGUAAAGCUGUUAUAACACAGAGGAAAAUGUGUUACAAUAAAUUAUACAUGUAAGAUAAAUGUGUUAUAACACAAAGGUAAAAGUGUUAUAACAUGGAGGUAAAGGUGAUAUAACAGAGAGAUAAAUGUGUUAUAACGCAUAGGAAAAUGUGUUAUAACACAUUGGUAAAGGUGUUAUAACAAAGAGGUAAAGGUGUUAUAACACAGAGCUAACUUUGUUAUGACACAGAGUUAAAGGUGUUAUAACACAGAGAUACAUGUGUUAUAACACAAAUGAAAAUAUUUUAUAACAGAGGUAAAGGUGUUAUAACACAGAGAUACAUGUGUUAUAACACAGAGGUUAAUGUUUUAUGACACAGAGGUAAAGGUGUUAUAACACAGAGGUCAAGGUGUAAUAACAGAGGUAAAGCUGUUAUAACACAGAUGAAAAUGUGUUACAACAGAGCUAAAUGUGUUAUAACACAGAGUUAAAAGUGUUAUAACAUGGAGGUAAAGGUGAUAUAACACAGAGAUAAAUGUGUUAUAACUCAUAGGAAAAGGUGUUAUAACAAAGAGGUAAAUGUGUUCUAACACAGGAAAAGGUGAUAUAACAGAGAAAAAGGUGUUAUAACACACAGAUAAAUUUGUUAUGACACAGAGUUAAAGGUGUUAUUACACAGAGAAAAAAAGAGAAAAUGUGUUAUAACAGAGAUGAAUGUGUUAUAAUACAGCGGUCAAGGUGUUAACACAGAGGUAAAGGUGUUAUAACACAGAUAUAAAUGUGUUAUAACACAAAGGAAAAUGUUUUAUAACAGAGGUUGGGUUGGCGCCCCCCUUGGGUUGUGCCGUGGCGGAGAUCUUUGUGGGCUAUACUCAGCCUUGUCUCAGGAUGGUAGGUUGGUGGUUGAAGAUAUCCCUCUAGUGGUGUGGGGGCUGUGCUUUGGCAAAGUGGGUGGGGUUAUAUCCUUCCUGUUUGGCCCUGUCCGGGGGUGUCCUCGGAUGGGGCCACAGUGUCUCCUAACCCCUCCUGUCUCAGCCUCCAGUAUUUAUGCUGCAGUAUUUAUGCUGCAGUAGUUUAUGUGUCGGGGGGCUAGGGUCAGUUUGUUAUAUCUGGAGUACUUCUCCUGUCCUAUUCGGUGUCCUGUGUGAAUUUAAGUGUGCUCUCUCUAAUUCUCUCUUUCUCUCUUUCUUUCUCUCUCUCGGAGGACCUGAGCCCUAGGACCAUGCCUCAUGACUACCUGACAUGAUGACUCCUUGCUGUCCCCAGUCCACCUGGCCGUGCUGCUGCUCCAGUUUCAACUGUUCUGCCUUAUUAUUAUUGGACCAUGCUGGUCAUUUAUGAACAUUUGAACAUCUUGGCCAUUUUCUGUUAUAAUCUCCACCCGGCACAGCCAGAAGAGGACUGGCCACCCCACAUAGCCUGGUUCCUCUCUAGGUUUCUUCCUAGGUUUUGGCCUUUCUAGGGAGUUUUUCCUAGCCACUGUGCUUCUACACCUGCAUUGCUUGCUGUUUGGGGUUUUAGGCUGGGUUUCUGUACAUCACUUUGAGAUAUCAGCUGAUGUACGAAGGGCUAUAUAAAUACAUUUGAUUUGAUUUGAUUAGGUAAAGGUGUUAUAACACAGAGGUAAAGGUGCUAUAACUCCUAAAUAAAGGUUCUAUAACUCAGAUGUAAAGAUGUAAUAACACAGAAGUCAAUGUGUUAUAACACAGAGGUAAAGGUGUUAUAACACAGAGGUAAAGGUGUUAUAACACAGAGGUUAAUGUUUUAUGACGCAGAGAUAAAUGUGUUAUAAGACAGAGUAAAAGGUUUUAGACGACAGAGAUAAAUGUGUUAUAACAUAGAGGAAAAUGUGAUAUAACACAGAGGGAAAGGUGUUAUAACAGUGAUAAAGGUGUUACAACACAGAGGUACAUUUGUUAUAAUACAGAGAUAAAUGUGUUAUAACACAUAGGUAAAAGUGCUAUAACUCCUAAAUAAAGGUUCUUUAACUCAGAGAUAAAGGUUCUAUAACUCAGAUGUAAAGGUGUUAUGACACAGAGGUAAAGGUGUUAUAACACAGAGGUAAAGGUGUUAUAACACAGAGGUAUAGAACAACAGUAAUGGUGGAACAUGAACCGAUAAACAAAGCCAGUGAUUUAUAUGCUCUUUGAGUUUAGUCCCCCUCAACUUCUCUGUUCUCUCCUCAGGAUGAAGAAGAAUAAAGCCUGUUUUGCAGCUUUACCGCCACGUUAAUCAUCUCUUGUUGAAACAUUUAAAUACACCCACAUUACAGUUGAAACACAACACCAGUCGAAGCGAAUACCUUUGUACCAGUAUACCACAGAAUCUGUCAUGACAGUUUCAAGCGCAAUACGUGGAAUGUAGUUUGUUAACCAAACCCACCCUUUUGGGAAUUUACAAGUCUCUUGUUUUUCAGACGAGACCACUGUCAUUGCCCUGAAUGCCACCAUAUGACAAAGUUUGGCAAGAGAGUUUGACAGUUAUGAAUAAGACAUAUAAUUGGCAGCCUUUUAGCAGCCUGAAAGCUGUGGGGUUAAGACAGUUUGUCUUUUUAACCCGAGGCUUAGCAUGGAUAAAGUGAUAACAUAAGCCUGGCUGGAGAGAUAAAGUAGAACAGUAGACCUCUUGGUUGGACACUUCCCAUUUGCUGAUGUUUUGAUCAUGGCUCCUGCACUCUGUUGAGGUAAACUAGACAUCUACUGUUGGGUCUCAGGUCAAUGACCUAUAAGCAAUGGUACUUUUCUGAUCGUCUAAUUCUAAAUGUACAGUGUAUAAAAUCUUUAGAUAUGCUGUACCUCAAAUUGGUUCAUUUCAAAAAGAGAGUAUGACGAAUUUGAGAGGAUCCGAGCAUGGCUGGGGAGAUUUGGACAGUCCAGUCUUUCUUAAUCCACAGAGAAGAUCACUGUUAUAAACCCUGCAUAAAAUCAGGAGACAAUGCUAGGUUGUUUUCUGUGUUGGCUUGAUUUUCCCUUUUUUUCAAGUCAAACUGAAGACCAGAGAGCAGCCAGCUAGUAAAGCCUCCCCUUCCCCAGCCCAGGCCCCUCAAAACAAGCCUCUUUCUGUUGGGAAUCUCCAUGGAAACCAAGCAACUAACUUGAGGAGGGAUAUAAAACCUGCUCUUUGAGGGACUGAAGGAACACCUGCCACCUCUACAGAUGGGGGUCAAAAUAGACUGACACACUGCCACCUCAUAAUGAACAGAGGGUUGUGUAACAUUUAAAUGAGUCCCCGUCCCGAACAUCUGCUCAUCGUCAAUUACUUAUUCACUGAUAACUCCUAUUUUAUCUGUUAAAACAGACCCAAUCUUUACUGGAAAUCACUUGAUGCAAUAGUGUAGUCAUUUAUGAGUAUUGGUUCAGAUUGCAGAUUGGUUAAAAUGACAGUAAUAACUGAUAUGGACUGUUCAUCAUUCUAAGAUUGAAGAUGUUAGGUGCGUAAUUGAUUUGGGAAUCUGCAUCACAUCUUGAAGUCCGAGAGCUCUGAAGGUUUUGAAAAUAAGAUAUUUGGUUGUGUGGCCGUUAGUUUGUACAUAACAUGGGUUCCAUUGAAAUCCAGCAACUGCAUGUUUAUGGAAGCGACACCACACUAUCCCCUGGCUGUUACUGUCAAAGCAAAAAGCUGCUGUUGGACAUACAUAGCCUGAACAACCUUAAUUAACACCUGCAGAAUAGCCCCGCGGUUGUUAUUUUACUGCUGCUCUUUCAUUGUUACUGUUUUUUAAUUGGUUAAGGGCUUGUCAGUAAGCAUUUCACUGUGAUGUCUACACCUGUUGUAUUCGGUGUAUGUGACAAAUAACAUCUGAUUUGAGAACCACAACAUAAAUAAAAGAAAAGUACUGUUAACCACACCAACAUUACUGGGAUUGUUAGCCACUCCGUCUUUUUGUAACCUUGCUUUUUAGGGCUAAUUGCCCUGACUUUCCAGAGUUCAGGGGUCAAACAGUUUGUCAACAAGCAUUAGGGCAGAAAUUCAAUCAACUGUUCAGCUUUUGCGAUUCAAAGGAAUCUCCUUCAAGUGUUACAAUGACUAUAAACAAAUCUUGUCCACCACCACUAUCACUAUCAAUACAGUGAGUCCCUCACAUUUCACCUAUUGUAUUUCCGCUUACCCUCACCCAUUCACACCCCAAACAUCAAAGGCCCUAUCAACAAGAACAAGUGGCAUGCAGGGGUCAUCCAUCCAGCCACCCAGCCUCAUUUUAGCCUACACUGCCGGAGGCAAUAUGCUCUGGGAUGCAUCCCAAAUGCUACCCUAUUCCCUUUAAAGUGCACUAUAUUAAUUUCACCAGGGGCCAAAGGGAUCUAUAUAGAGCAUAGGGUACCAGUCUUCCAUGUUCCUCCCCAGCCCUCCCCACUCCUCACAACUCCAUUCAUGUGUGAAAGUGACGGCUGC
ensembl:lncRNA